GAGCCCGUUGCUUAGUCUGGUAGAGCGCCGCUCUGAUAUAUCUGAUCGAAAGCACCAUAGUCUUGCUCUUCGGUUUCAGACAGGCGGAGGUCCCGUGUUCAAAUCACGGCGGGCUCA
rnacentral:tRNA from 1 species